UACGGGGGGGGCAAGCGUUGUUCGGAAUUACUGGGCGUAAAGGGCUCGUAAGCGGCCAACUAAGUCAGACGUGAAAUCCCUCGGCUUAACCGGGGAACUGCGUCUGAUACUGGAUGGCUUGAGAUUGGGAGAGGGAUGCGGAAUUCCAGGUGUAGCGGUGAAAUGCGUAGAUAUCUGGAGGAACACCGGUGGCGAAGGCGGCAUCCUGGACCAAUACUGACGCUGAGUGAGCGAAAGCCAGGGGAGCAAACGGG
rnacentral:rRNA from 1 species